GCUCCUAAAGGAUAAUAGCUCAUCCGUUGGUCUUAGGAACCAAAAACUCUUGGUGCAACUCCAAGUAGCAGCUAUGCAUCUUACGCCUCUA
rnacentral:tRNA from 1 species